GAUGAACGCUAGCGGCAGGCUUAACACAUGCAAGUCGAGGGGUAUGGGAAGCUUGCUUUCCAGAGACCGGCGCACGGGUGCGUAACGCGUAUGCAAUCUACCUUUUACAGGGGGAUAGCCCAGAGAAAUUUGGAUUAAUACCCCAUGGUAUAUGUGAAUGGCAUCAUUUACAUAUUAAAGUCACAACGGUAAAAGAUGAG
rnacentral:rRNA from 1 species